AGCUUUGCGCAGUGGCAGUAUCGUAGCCAAUGAGGUUUAUCCGAGGCGCGAUUAUUGCUAAUUGAAAAUCCCGGUGGGAGAAUGGGAGAAAGUUUUGAAAAUCAUAUAUCUGA
rnacentral:snRNA from 3 species